rnacentral:rRNA from 1 species
UACAGAGGGUGCGAGCGUUAAUCGGAAUUACUGGGCGUAAAGCGCGCGUAGGCGGCUUUGCAAGUCGGGUGUGAAAUCCCCAGGCUUAACCUGGGAACUGCAUCCGAUACUGGAUGGCUUGAAUCCGGGAGAGGGAUGCAGAAUUCCAGGUGUAGCGGUGAAAUGCGUAGAUAUCUGGAGGAAUACCGGUGGCGAAGGCGGCAUCCUGGACCGGCAUUGACGCUGAGGAGCGAAAGCUAGGGGAGCAAACGGG